AUGCCUGUAGAGCUGGGCCAGGCUCGCUGGAAAAAUACAGAACUUUCCUUGGAGGCUGGACCGGGAGGUGCUGAGGCAGGAGGCAGGAAGGAGGAAGGAGGAAGGAGGAGGGUCUGGUGUGUGGGGGCCCGGAAUGAACAGGCUGCCUGUUCCAGGGACAGGGACGCAGCAGCACAGAGCCUGCCAAAGGGAGAAGAGGAAGACAGGAGGGAGGGAGCAGGGCGGGGGGCCCAGAAAGAAAAUGUUCCUGCAGCCCCAGGAGCCGGGGAGGCUGCGGAGGGAGGGGCUUGGAGGCCCCUCGGCCCAUCCACCUUCCACACAUUGCCCACUGGUCCCUGGCCAUCAGCUUCAUCUUCUGUACCAGUGCCGGAGCCAGCCCACACCUUGGGGCCCCUCUCAUCCCUCAGGGCCUUUCCCGGCCCUUGGUGCCACCAAGCACUGUGCCCAGCACUGAUCGGGUCUCCCGAGACCCCUGCCCCAUUCCACCCUGGCCCCUUCCAGAGGCCUCACAGAGGCUGUCUGAGGCUGUCUGAAGCCUCCCGCAGGAGGCUUGAUGGACGAGGACCACCACCUCUGUCACUUGCCCACUCUGCAGGCUGGGGCAGGAGUAAGGACCCCUGUGGAAGCCAAGGUGAGGGCGUCUCCCUGAGCGGCCAAACAGGAGCAGCUGCAUCCAGAUCUCCUCUGCCCCCUACUUUCCCACCUCAUCCUUUCUGCCUCCUGGGUCUCUCCCCAGACUCAGCCCUAACCUGCUGUGUGACGCCCAUGCUCUGGAGGCAGACUGGGACCCUCACCCACAGCUCUGCUCUCUGCCUCCCCUGGCCUGUCCCCACUGCUGGUGGCCCUCAGGACAGGGAUGGCAGGGCUCAGGUGUCCUCGAAGCUGCCUGGACCCAGAUCCACCCUCUGCCAGCUGCCCCCGAAACACGCCACCAGGUCUGUGCCACCACCACAGGGCAACACCAGGGUGGGCGCUGGACACGCUUCCGGAGACAGAGGAGGUAGACAGGGCGAGGAAGCCUCCAGAACUCCUCUUGAGGAGGCGAGGGUGGGACCCCCUGGCCACUUCUCAGGCUCCAGAGUGGCACUGAUGAGAGGCUCUGGCAGGAGCGGCUGGGAGAACCCUCACCAGACCAGGUGGCCCGAGGCCAAGGACGAGGCUCCCAUAGCUCCUGGCUGGCCCUCGAGGCCCUGGCAUUGCCACCUACUUCACAGAUGGAAAGCUGAGGCUCAGGUGAGCAGCUGCCCGUUUCCUGACUAG
rnacentral:lncRNA from 1 species